rnacentral:miRNA from 1 species
UCACUUUAGAUUGACUCUCUCUCUCUCUCUCUCUCUCUCUCUCUCUCUCUCUCGGGGGAGAGAGAGAGAGAGAGAGAGAGAGAGAGAGAGAGAGAGAGAGAGAGAGAGAGAGAAUUUUUUA